UUUACGCGGCAGCAUGGGACUGAAUUGUGGGAGGACUUAUACUUAUAUGAUUCUACCCCCUUUCAUUUUUAUGCUGCUUUGGGA
rnacentral:pre_miRNA from 1 species